GUAAAAUCGGGUGAGCUGUAAAAUGGACAUCCAACUUGAAAUUGGCCAGUUCCUGCCAGGCACAGAAAAGGAUAUUGUGAAAAAAAUAGCUGCCUGGAAUUCCCAUGUACAUUUUCUGGCAAAGGAUCAGUGAAACUUUCAAACAGACAGCAGAAAUGACUACCAAUGAACCAUUUACUUCAUUUCUUCAGGGAUUCCACCAAUAUUCCACCGAAGCUACAGGACAAAGUUGAAGGUCCUACAAGAAAGAAGUGGUAUGGAAGAAUUAUUGGUUCAUUGUCCAUGAUUUUCCCUGAUCACGCUGAACAAUUUAAAAACGUUUGAUGUUGGAAAGUUUGUCUAACUGUAUGUAGCCCCAAAUUAAAUUAAUAUGUUAUGC